UAUUUUGUCGCUCAGUGAAUUUGGAAUUGGACAGCACCUUUUUUUAAGAGACCUACAGGUCGUUGACUGAAACCCCAAAACUAUCAAAUUUAUUUUAAAGUGCAGCGGAAAAAAUAUAUAUAUCAGACUAAAAUUGUGAAAAAUGUAUUUAUCGUACGAUUGAUGCAAUCCAAAACAUAAUAAUGCCAGGCGGUAUUAACAACGGUAUUCAACAAAAUUUGAAAAAUAUUCUGUCCAAUACUGUUGUGUUAGCCUACAACGUCGAUUUAUUAAAACAUGAAAGCAAUUUUUAUGGAGCCUUAUUAUGUAGAUGCAAUCGACAAUAAGAAUGGCAAUGGUGAGGAACUACUCCGAAAGGCCUUGCCGCUGCAAAAAAAACGUUUUUUUAAUUACGCCGCCAUUACCAAAAAAAAAAAAACGACUUAGAUACUACUAAGAACAUUAUUGAUGAAUGAAAUCUCUUAAUUUUUGUAUUGUAUUAAAAUUGAGUCAAUGAAGACAUUAAUUAAAAAAUAAAAUGUAUAAUUAUUCAAA